UACGUAGGGUGCGAGCGUUGUCCGCAUUUAUUGGGCGUAAAGGGCUCGUAGGCGGCUCGUUGCGUCGGCUGUGAAAACCCGCAGCUCAACUGUGGGCUUGCAGCUGAUACGGGCGGGCUGGGAUUCGGUAGGGGAGACUGGAAUUCCUGGUGUAGCGGUGAAAUGCGCAGAUAUCAGGAGGAACACCGGUGGCGAAGGCGGGUCUCUGGGCCGAUAUCGACGCUGAGGAGCGAAAGCGUGGGGAGCGAACAGG
rnacentral:rRNA from 1 species